rnacentral:rRNA from 1 species
CGUGUAGGCGGCCAUGCAAGUCGGGUGUGAAAGCCCUCGGCUUAACCGAGGAAGUGCGCCCGAAACUACAUGGCUUGAGUACCGGAGAGGGUGGCGGAAUUCCCGGUGUAGAGGUGAAAUUCGUAGAUAUCGGGAGGAACACCAGCGGCGAAGGCGGCCACCUGGACGGAUACUGACGCUGAGACGCGAAAGCGUGGGAGCAAACAGGAUUAGAUACCUGGUAGUCCACGCCGUAAACGAUGAGCGCUAGGUGUUGUGGGUGUUGACCCCUGCAGUGCCGCAGCUAACGCAUUAAGCGCUCCGCCUGGGAAGUACGGCCGCAAGGCUAAA